UGCGUAGGCGGCGCGGAAAGUAGGGUGUGAAAUCCCUCGGCUCAACCGAGGAACUGCGCCCUAAACUACCGUGCUCGAGGGAGAUAGAGGUGAGCGGAACUUAGGGUGGAGCGGUGAAAUGCGUUGAUAUCCUAAGGAACACCGGUGGCGAAAGCGGCUCACUGGAUCUCUUCUGACGCUGAGGCACGAAAGCUAGGGUAGCGAACG
rnacentral:rRNA from 1 species